rnacentral:lncRNA from 1 species
CCUUCGUGCUUCUGGACACGCCUCCCACACCAGGGUGUCACCCCGGGGUGCUGUGACAGGGACCUCCCACCCCAGAGACCCCCAGGGUGCUGUGACAGGGACCUCCCACCCCAGAGACCCCCAGGGUGUCACCCCGGGGUGCUGUGACAGGGACCUCACACCCCAGAGACCCCCAGGGUGUCACCCCAGGGUGCUGGGACAGGGACAUCCCACCCCAGAGACCCCCAGAGUGUCACCUCGGGGUGCUGGGACAGGGACAUCCCACCCCAGAGACCCCCAGGGUGUCACCCCGGGGUGCUGUGACAGGAACCUCCCACCCCAGAGACCCCCAGGGUGUCACCCCAGGGUGCUGGGACAGGGACCCCCCACCCCAGAGACCCCCAGGGUGCCACCCCAGGGUGCUGUGACAGAGACCCCCCACCCCAGGGAUCCCCAGAGCGCCACCCCAGGGACCCUCAGGGUUCCACCCCAGGGACCCUCCGGGGGUGCCACCCCUGGGCCCCCCAUCCAGGGGUGCCAUGACAAGACCCCUCCCCGAGCACCGGUGCCACCAGCACCACCAGUGCCACCAGUGCCACCAGCGCCGCCAUCCCCGACCACCCCACGGCCCCGUUACUGGUCCCAGUGGUGUCACUGGUCCCCCAUCUCCACCCACUGGUCCCAGUGGCAUCACUGGUCCCCCAUCCCCCAGGUCCCAGUGACAUCACUGGUCCCCCAUGCCCACCCGCUGGUCCCAGUGGUGUCACUGGUCCCCCAUCCCCACCCACUGGUCCCAGUGCCACCACUGGUCCCCCAUCUCCACCCACUGGUCCCAGUGGUGUCACUGGUCCCCCAUCCCCCAGGUCCCAGUGGCGUCACUGGUCCCCCAUGCCCACCCGCUGGUCCCAGUGCCACCACUGGUCCCCCAUCCCCACCCACUGGUCCCAGUGCCACCACUGGUCCCCCACCCACUGGUCCCAGCGGCCUCACUGGUCGCCCAUCCCCAGUGCCAUCACUGGUCCCCCAUCCCCACCCACUGGUCCCAGUGGUGUCACUGGUCCCCCAUGCCCACCCACUGGUCCCAGUCCCAUCACUGGUCCCCCAUC